CAGUCGCCGCGGUAAUACGAAGGUCCCAAGCGUUGUUCGGAAUCACUGGGCGUAAGGGGAGCGUAGGCGGCGUGGUAAGUCAGAUGUGAAAUCCCGGGGCUCAACCCCGGAACUGCAUCCGAUACUGCCAUGCUUGAGGGUUGGAGAGGUAGCUGGAAUUCUUGGUGUAGCAGUGAAAUGCGUGGAUAUCAAGAGGAACACUCGUGGCGAAGGCGAGCUACUGGACAACAUCUGACGCUGAGGCUCGAAGGCCAGGGUAGCGAAAGGGAUUAGAUACCCCAGUAGUCCCUGUCUCUUAUAC
rnacentral:rRNA from 1 species